AGCGGGGUAGAGGACUUGGUCGACUCAUCAGGCCCAUGACCCGAAGCCUGCAGGUUCGAAUCCUGUCCCCGCCU
rfam:Citrus clementina cultivar Clemenules unplaced genomic scaffold scaffold_7, whole genome shotgun sequence.